UACAUGUCAUCAAUUGAUUGGACAAACCGAUUAAUAGAGAUAAAAGAUUUUUUUGAUGGUCGAUUGAUUUUUUUUUUCUUCUUCUUCCUCUUCCUCUCUCUGUCUCUCUCUCGAACUCGUGAAUUGACAAUCGAAGAAGUAGAUGAAAUUGGAGGAGAUUGAAUCGGCGGAGGUGAUUGAAUUGAUCUCAGUCGGCAGUUAUUUUGUUAUAUUAUGUUCUUUGAAAUCGAGAAUCUCCUUCUCGUUGGUUCGCGGGUCGUUCUGUUUGGACAGUGUUUAUUGAAGCUAUGUCUAAAGGAACAGCAUAGACGACUCUUUUACUAAUUACAGAUCUCAAGUAACUGAGCUUUUGUCUCAAGGUGAGAGGAUCUCACCUGCGGUCUCGUGAGUUUAGAAACCAUGAAGGUAUAUGUGUUGAUUGGAUAACGGAUUAGAGUUGAUUGGAUUUUGUUCGUAAAUUUGGGUUUAGGGUUGGGAGUUCGAAAUUUUAGGGUUCUUGCUAUAUGAUUGUGGCUUCAGCUCUAUUAUGUAAUCAUUUUGGUGUUUGUAUUAGGUUCCUUAAUUGGUUUUAGUUUCUUCUAUUAUGUAAUCGGCUUCAGCUCCCUAUGUUAUGUAAUUGGCUUCUCUUGUGUUUGCUGAUCUUGUGUAUGUGGUUUGGUGUUUGUAAUCGGCUUCAGCUCUAUUAAAGUUUGGCCAUGUUUAUAAAGCAAGAGAGAAACGGCCAAUCUUUGGGUAUGGAGUGUCUAGAGUGAUAGAAUCUGGGCAGCCAAUCUUUGGGUAUUGAAAUACCAUCCCUAGUUUAUUAUCAUUAAGAACUUAAACUGAGUAUUUAGGAAGUUGAUGCAAACCCUCUUCUCUUUAGUUAUCUGGAUCAGUUUGAUGUGGCGCAAAGAUGAAAACUUGAUUGCAGUUGUUGACACUAGUAGGCAGAGUGGGUUUGGUGGAGUCUUCAGCCCGAGAAUUUGGUAUUUGCAAGAAUGUUAAUUUAACAUGAUUAAGGUUUUCCUUUAGAUUGCUUUCGUGGAUAGAUGCUUAACAAAAUUCUCUCGGCUGCUUGUGAUGUAUAUAUUCUUCCAUCUUUUGUUGGUUUCAUCUUGAUAUACAAUGAGUCAUUUUUGUAGUUGCAGAUUACAGAUCCAAUUCUGUUCCAUAUUUUGUUUCUUU